AAAGAGGAAAAAAGAAAAAAAAACAGAUCACAAAAAGAGAAGCCAUGAAACCCCAGAUGAGUUCAUCAUCGUCUUCAAUGAAAUCGACCACCAUUACAAUGGAAGACGACUUCCGUACCGAAACCAGAGACAGCUGCUAUUACCCCGGAUGCAGAAAAGACGACAAUUGCAACUGCGAGAUGUGUUUGGCCAGCAUCAACGCCACUCUCGAUCUCAUGUCCUUUAGCGUCCAGAAAAGCUCCUUCACUAAACUCUCGGCUUCCAAGCCAAAAUUCAACCACUUGCCGAUCUCUUUCAACCCUUCGGUGAUAUCGACACCCGGAACGAGUUCCUGUUGCCUGGUGGAAUCUCCGGCUCUUAAAUCAACCGCUAGAUUAAACGCGAGAGAGAAGAAGAUGAAGGAGAAGGAAGAGAAGAAGAAGAAAGGUGGUUUUGCUAGUGUAUUCUGGAAAUUGUUAUUGGGUUGAAUCUUGUUCUUGUAAUGGAGAUUGGGUUUUCUUGGAUUCUUGGUUGGUUUUUUAAGCCAGUUUUGACAAGCGAAAUUGUGAGAACCAUCGGUGAAAGGGCUUCAAUGAUGCAAGAUUUGAAUGCAAAAAUGAGGUUCCUGCAAAAUGAGUUGAAGGGAUUUCAUAAUCUGAAUGUUUCAAAUUGCAGCAAUAAUGAUUCCAUAUGGGAAAUCGACCAGGAUACUUUGCUUCUGAAUUCACAUUGUUUAAUGUAUAAAUCAUCAAUGGAAGAAGUAAGAAUUUGGGGAUGGCCACUGCAACUGCAGGGUUGCUUGCCACUGGAUUCUCUUCCAAAUCUUUCACCAUAUUAUCUGGAAGAGUAACAGAGUGGUCCAAUGGAAAGCAUGGAUUUGUAACAAGAAAGGCAAAUGCUUCAUGGGAGCAAAGCAAAUGGGGUGCCUCUGUUGUACAGUUGGAUCCAAAAACAUGGAUUAUUGAGUAUCAAAGGUGCUCAAUCCUGGAACAUCCAAGACUCAUUUCAGCCACAUUGGAGCUGUUGAAGCAUAGGUUGACAAAAUGGUGAAGAUGAGUGAAGAACUUUUGCUCUUGUUUGUUUUUGAUAACCAGUACAUUGAAUUUGCUGGAAGUGAUGAGGAACAACUUAUGAUCCCAACUUAAAGAGGAUGAUGAUUUUUUGAUUCCAUUUCUCAUUUCUUGUGAGAUUUUUUUA